ncrna:unclassified sequences Rhodo-rpoB RNA
GGCUCGGGCGCAGACCGGUGGGACGGUCUGCAGGAAUGGAGCCCCACCCCGUUUCGCACGUCACGCGCGGCCGAAGCCCGGCGGUCCGCGCG